UACAGAGGGUGCGAGCGUUGUUCGGAAUUACUGGGCGUAAAGCGCGCGCAGGCGGCCUUUUAAGUCUGCUGGUGAAAUGCCGGGGCUCAACCCCGUGCCCGCCACAGAUACUGGGAGGCUGGAGACGAGUAGAGGCAAAAGGAAUUCCGGGUGUAGCGGUGGAAUGCGUAGAGAUCCGGAAGAACACCGGAGGCGAAGGCGGCUUGCUGGGCUCGGUCUGACGCUGAGGCGCGAAAGCGUGGGGAGCGAACAGG
rnacentral:rRNA from 1 species